CUGCUUCUAAGAACUAUAGAACCAAUUCCUCCAGGUGUCAUCCUGACGAAAUGCCAACACAUUCAACACAAAAAGUAUUGUCUCAAAAGUUUUGCUCUCUGACUUCUUGCAGCCAGCAGUGUGGACAGUGAGGAAGCACAUAUUGCACGCUGAAAACAUCACCUCAUUACAGAUGCAUCGUGCACUGACACUAUCUUGUGGUCUCCAGAGACGAGUACAACCUGUGCUAUGGGAAACUGGUACACAUCUUUGUGGAAACUGGCCCGGAGGCGUUUCUGAAGAUCAGGAGUAGAGAUCACAAAACGAAAAACUUGGUGUCAGUAACAUGUCUUGAGGAGCUAAUCAGAGUUGCUGUGGGUCAUCGAAUUUGUCAGGAAGGCGACAUACAGGUGUAUUUAGUGGAUGAGUUAUCACUUCGCUGUAUGGUUGCUGGUGCUGAGAAAUGCCUCGAUGACAUUUUCAUUGUUAAAAAUGGACUAUGGAAACAAGAUCAGUCAACAUGUGUGAGUGCACCUUCACCAAUCCCACAAAUGCCUCUGCUCUCACGAAUUUAUUACCCUUGGGAGAGCCUCAGCAAGACAGUACUUGAUGCAUUGGAAGCAGACAAUGUUCUGCUUCCCUCUCAACAACAGGAAGUGGCACACAUGGCAGCGUCAUGGCCCUGCAUAUCCAUUGAAGGUGGGAGGCACUCCUGAUAUUUAUUCACAGGCACCUGGUUGGUAUCAUUGAGAACGAAGGGAGCCAGCAGGCAUAAAAAAAUCAAGAGGGCUACAUACAUAAAUGCGUGAGGCAGUGAGGGCAGCAGAUGAAUAUA